rnacentral:rRNA from 1 species
GUUAGGAAUAUUGGACAAUGGGCGCAAGCCUGAUCCAGCCAUGCCGCGUGAGUGAUGAAGGCCUUCGUGUUGUAAAGCUCUUUAGUCCACGAAUAUAAUGACUGUAGUGGAAGAAUAAGCCCCGGCUAACUUCGUGCCAGCAGCCGCGGUAAUACGAAGGGGGCGAGCGUUAUUCGGAAUCACUGGGCGUAAAGCGUGCGUAGGCUGUUUUGUAAGUCAGAAGUGAAAGCCCAGGGCUUAACCCUGGAAUUGCUUUUGAAACUACAAGACUCGAAUUCGGGAGAGGAUAGCGGAAUUGUCAGUGUAGCAGUGAAAUGCGUAGAUAUUGACAGGAACACCAGUGGCGCAAGCGGCUAUCUGGACCGAUAUUGACGCUGAGGCACGAAUGCGUGGGGAGCAAACAGGAUUAGAAACCCCGGUAGUCC